rnacentral:rRNA from 1 species
UACAGAGGUGGCAAGCGUUGUUCGGAAUUACUGGGCGUAAAGGGCGCGUAGGCGGCCAUCUAAGUCAGACGUGAAAUCCCCCGGCUUAACCUGGGAACUGCGUCUGAUACUGGACGGCUUGAGUAUGGGAGAGGGAUGUAGAAUUCCACGUGUAGCAGUGAAAUGCGUAGAGAUGUGGAGGAAUACCGAUGGCGAAGGCAGCCCCCUGGGAUAACACUGACGCUCAGGCACGAAAGCGUGGGGAGCAAACAGG